UACGUAGGUGGCAAGCGUUGUCCGGAUUUACUGGGCGUAAAGGGCGUGCAGGCGGUUUGUUAAGUGCAGGGUGAAAGCUCCCGGCUCAACUGGGAGAGGUCCUUGCAUACUGGCGAACUCGAGGGAGGCAGAGGAAAGUGGAAUUCCCGGUGUAGUGGUGAUAUGCGUAGAUAUCAGGAGGAACACCGGUGGCGAAGGCGGGUCUCUGGGCAGUAACUGACGCUGAGGAGCGAAAGCGUGGGGAGCGAACAGG
rnacentral:rRNA from 1 species